rnacentral:rRNA from 1 species
UUAGUGGCGGACGGGUGAGUAACGCGUGGAAAACCUGCCGUAUACUGGGGGAUAACACUUAGAAAUAGGUGCUAAUACCGCAUAAGCGCACAGCUUCGCAUGAAGCGGUGUGAAAAACUCUGGUGGUAUACGAUGGUUCCGCGUCUGGUUAGCUAGUUGGUGGGGUAAUGGCCUACCAAGGCAACGAUCAGUAGCCGGCCUGAGAGGGUGAACGGCCACAUUGGGACUGAGGCACGGCCCAAACUCCUACGGAAGGCAGCAG